AAAGAGGCUGUGUCACAGCCCUUCAGAGCCUCAAGCUGAGGUCCCUAGGGUUGCUGGACCUCAGAUCACCGUGAGGCAGGGGGUCCUCCACCCUCCCUCCGGCAACUCUGAAGUAUGGGAAGUGGGCUGAUGUGCUGGAACGUCGAUGCAGCCAGUGAUGUGUUUGAUGAGAAUGUAUUGAGGGUAAAGCUGGCCAGAAUCCAGAUGGUGAACCGAAACUUACAGAGCUCAAGUCACUUGACCAGGCUCCACCCCUACAAGAGGCAGCACGGAAACUAAAACCCAGGCGUCCUUUUCCAAAGCUUGUGCUCUGCUCCACUGCGGGAAGGAACCCUUCCGGGAAUUGAAGCAGUACUAAACAAAGGCCAUUUUUAAGAAGCGACCCUUAAAGACAGUCCUGGGGAGUUCACAGUGAGUACAGCAGAAACCUAAGACGGGGUCCCCGGCUCAACAAGGGUCUCAUGUUUUGUGGGUCAGAGAUUCUUUUGUGUCGUGUGUGGGUGAAGUCAAAAACCAUGCAGAGACUUUCACUUCCUGUUCUGUGGCAGACAAGACAUCUGAAGAGCUCUCCUGCAGCAACACUUCUAGAUGCAAGUAAAUCACAGCAAAUAUACUUUUAAAUGUGUUACUAAGAUCAUAAAAAAUGAAUGAAAAUGCCCAAGCAUAUCCCCAACCCCUCACCCCACCACCACCACCGUCACCACCACAACAAUAAACAAGUUGCUGACAGCAGAUUGGUAAGCAAGUGUAGAACCUUAGGCUGCGUCGGCAUCAAAUACUAAUAACCGAGCAAGACCAGGCCUGAGGGCUGUGCCAUUGAGAGGUGACAGCAUGCUGGCAGUCCUCACAGCCCUCGUUCGCUCUCGGCACCUCCUCUGCCUGGGCUCCCACUUUGGUGGCACUUGAGGAGCCCUUCAGCCCACCGCUGCACUGUGGGAGCCCCUUUCUGGGCUGGCCAAGGCGGGAGCCGGCUCCCUCAGCUUGCAGGGAGGUGUGGAGGGAGAGGCGCCAGCGGGAACCAGGGCUGCGCGCGGCGCUUGCGGGCCAGCUGGAGUUCCGGGUGGGCGUGGGCUUGGUGGGGCCCUGCACUCGGAGCAGCCGGCCGGCCCUGCCGGCCCCCGGCAAUGAGGAGCUUAGCACCCGGGCCAGCGGCUGCAGAGGGUGUACUGGGUCCCCCAGCAGUGCCAGCCCACCGGCGCUGCGCUCGGUUUCUCACCGGGCCUUAGCUGCCUUCCCGCGGGGCAGGGCCCAGAACUGCAGCCCGCCGUGCCUGAGCCUCCCACCCCCUCCGUGGGCUCCUGUGUGGCCUGAGCCUCUCCGACGAGCACCACCCCCUGCUCCACGGUGCCCAGUCCCAUCGACCACGGAAGAGCUGAGGAGUGCGGGUGCGCGGCGUGGGACUGACAGGCAGCUCCACUGCAACCCCAGAGCAGGAUCCACUGGGUGAAGCCAGCUGGGCUCCUGAGUCUGGUGAGGACGUGGAAAACCUUUAUGUCUAGCUCAGGGAUUGUAAAUACACCAAUCAGCACCCUGUGUCUAGCUCAGGGUUUGUGAGUGCACCAAUCGACACUCUGUGUCUGGCUGCUCUGGUGGGGCCUUGGAGAACCUUUAUGUCUAGUCCAGGGAUUGUAAACGCACCAAUCAGCGCCCUGUCAAAACAGACCACUCGGCUCUACCAAUCAGCAGGAUGAGGGUGGGGCCAGAUAAGAGAAUAAAAGCAGGCUGCCCGCACCAGUAGCAGCAACCCUGCUCAGGGUGUUUUCCACGUUGUAGAUUUUGUGUGCUUUCGGUGUUUUUAUAAGAAGUCUUCCUGCUGCUCACUCUUUGAGUCCACAUUGCCUUUAUCAGCUGUAACACUCACUGCUGAAGGCUUGUAGCUUCACACCUGUCUGAGCCAGCAAGACCACGAGUCCACCAAAAAGAAGACACUCCGAACACUUCUGAACAUCAGAGGGAAUAAGCUCCAAACGUGCUACCUUAAGAGCUGUAACAUUGGCUGCUAAGGGUCUGCAGUUUCAUACUUGCAAUCAGUGAGACUAAGAACCCAGGAAUUCCAGACACACCAUGUGGGCAGCUGAAUCAAGACUUCAUAGAGGGGCUCCAAGGUGGUUAUAAAAAUAACGUUUACCCUUACACUGAUUUAGGUACGUUAAGCCUCUCUGUUCACUUCUGGGUAGAAAAAUAAACUCCUCUUAACUCCAUAAGGUCUGGAUUUGGAAUUUAUUCUGCCCCCAUCCACAAGUCGGCAAAAUCUGAAGUUAAGUGAUACCAACCUUCAAGAUUGUAUAAUUUAAGUAAAUAUGAAUUCUCUCUGGAGAAAAACGUCAUGCCUAAUAGGAUUCCCUUUAAGAUGAGUGUAAUGUGCUCUCCAAAAUUACCAGACACAUGAGGAAACAACAUUAUGACUGGAAAUAAAAACACUAAGCAAUAGAUUUAAUCACCUACAAUCUUCAAAUAUUGGCAUUAUGGGAUACAUAACGAAAUAAUCAUGUAUAAAAGUGUUCAAAGAAGUAAAGAGAUUGAAAAGUGACCAGAUUCGAAACACAAAGGAACAUCUAGAAUUAAAUAUAUAAACACGGAAAAGAGUAAAUUAAACAGUAGAUUAGCGGCCGGGCACGGUGGCUUACACCUAUAAUCCCAGCAUUUUGGAAAGCCAAAGUGGGAGGAUGGCUUGAGAACAGAAGUUUGAGACCAGUCGGGGCAACACAGCAGGACUUCAUCUCUACAAAACAUAAAAAUAAUUAGCUGCGUGUGA